rnacentral:rRNA from 1 species
GAACGAACGCUGGCGGCAUGCCUAACACAUGCAAGUCGAACGAGACCUUCGGGUCUAGUGGCGCACGGGUGCGUAACGCGUGGGAAUCUACCCUUGGGUUCGGAAUAACUCAGAGAAAUUUGAGCUAAUACCGGAUGAUGUCGCAAGACCAAAGAUUUAUCGCCCAAGGAUGAGCCCGCGUAGGAUUAGCUUGUUGGUGAGGUAAAAAGCUCACCAAGGCGACGAUCCUUAGCUGGUCUGAGAGGAUGAUCAGCCACACUGGGACUGAGACACGGCCCAGACUCCUACGGGAGGCAGCAGUGGGGAAUAUUGGACAAUGGGCGAAAGCCUGAUCCAGCAAUGCCGCGUGAGUGAUGAAGGCCUUAGGGUUGUAAAGCUCUUUUACCCGGGAUGAUAAUGACAGUACCGGGAGAAUAAGCCCCGGCUAACUCCGUG